GGUAUGUAAACUUCUAUCAGCAGGGAAGAAAAUGACGGUACCUGACUAAGAAGCCCCGGCUAACUACGUGCCAGCAGCCGCAGUAAUACGUAGGGGGCAAGCGUUAUCCGGAUUUACUGGGUGUAAAGGGAGCGUAGACGGUUAUGUAAGUCUGAUGUGAAAACCCGGGGCUCAACCCCGGGACUGCAUUGGAAACUAUGUAACUAGAGUGUCGGAGAGGUAAGUGGAAUUCCUAGUGUAGCGGUGAAAUGCGUAGAUAUUAGGAGGAACACCAGUGGCGAAGGCGGCUUACUGGACGAUGACUGACGUUGAGGCUCGAAAGCGUGGGGAGCAAACAGGAUUAGAUACCCUGGUAGUCCACGCCGUAAACGAUGCAUACUAGGUGUCGGUGGCAAAGCCAUUCGGUGCCGCAGCAAACGCAAUAAGUAUGCCACCUGGGGAGUA
rnacentral:rRNA from 1 species